GAGAGGAAGUUGGGGGGUUUGGAAAAAUUAGUCCAGCUCAUUAGAACUGUAAAUUUGUGCUCGUUAAAAUUUCGUUUCCAACUAUAGUGCGAGAGUACAGAAGCGAGCAGCAGCUACAGUAAUAGUAAUAGUGUCUGUCUGUGUGUGUGUGUCUAGUCAACGCGAGUUCCACCGAACUGGCCGUUUUCCUUGCCUGGCUUUCCCACUUUUCCGAAUUCCUUUCCGAUUUUCGCUACGCUUCAACGUCACCAGACCGCUGACCAUGCAAAACAACAGCAAGAAACGCACGUUGGUAGCCCGUUGUCUGUGCAAGAGAUACACCAUAUCCUUCGGCCAUGGGUGCGAUGCGGAUUAUAGGUGGAUUACGAAUGUAGAAAAACCCCAUAUACCAUGCAACCAUAAAAUGCCCUAUCUUAUCGGAUGCAUCCUGUUUAUGAGCGCGCUCUAUUGCUUCUUAUCUUUCAACAUGUCCUUCGCUACACUCGUAUUGUAUUGCCGCCGAGCUGCGUUCGAGGACACGUCACCAUAAAGGACAUGGCAACUCCGAACGAACAUCUCAAAGAGGAACAGUUUGUUCAAGGUGAAGGCGCAGCAGCUACACCAUAAAGCUAGCGAGGAUAGCGAGAACAUUAGAAGAUAGAGAGCAUAGAGCAACCGAGAAUGGCGUCGAGGAGAAAGGGGCAGGGACAUUGCAUCUGCUGGCAAAACUAUGAAAAUCCCUGAAACGGUUGAUAAAUUGUAGUAAGUCUGAACCGCUAGGGUUCAGAAUGUUCCGAAGAUGGUUUUAUAAAAUGGAGAAUAGAACUGUCAGUGUGAGUUUGAAGGUUCUGGAUAUGUGUGUGUAUUGUUGUUCUCUCUGUAGCGUGCCGAUAUCGUGAUAGUAUCACAUCCAGUCCAAACAUUAGCAUACCUCCAAACGAACGGACGAACGGACGAACGGUUGAAACCGGACCGCGCGGACCGAAACCAGCCAAGUCCCAUGUUUUUCGCCCUAUCGACAACAUCUCAUCUCGCAAGCCGUGUCGCGUCGCGCAGCCUCGUUCCGUUUAGGUGAAACAAAUGAUUGCCACAAA